rnacentral:lncRNA from 1 species
ACUGCAACCUCUAAAGUCCAGUUUAAGUAUGGUGCUUUUCACCCCAUUGAAAAAUUGGUGUCGAAGCAAGUUUGUCCUGUUGCAUUAAAAACAGAAUUGAUGACUGGUAAACAGUUUUAUUGCAGAUGCGAUAAAAAACAUGUGCCUCUCAUAACCGAUAUGGAGUUUGACCUAUUUUUGAAUGAACUUCCAAAAACACAACUUCUUGUUGUAAGCUUGGUUGA